rnacentral:lncRNA from 1 species
AUGCCUCCCGUGAAGAGGAGCAUCUAAUCCCAGCAUUUGCACCAGGGAACUCUGCCUGAAGGGAUUACCAGUGACUUGAAAGUGUAACCAACAACAAUCUUGUCACUAUUACGCACCAGCUAAGCAAUCUGAACAUACAUGCUGAAGACACAUUUGGUGAGCUAUUUAAGGAGGCUAACUGCUUCCACAUUAGAUCAAAUUCUCUUAGAAUUUGUUGCCUCAUGGUCAAAGUCACUCAGCUGGAUUCAGCAGUGGAAGAGGUGUCACCACAGGACAUCAACAUGGAAAAAGCCCUCAAAAGUUCCCCAGCCCAAGACCAGCAAGCAGUUUCAAAGAGCAGCAUUCCUACUCCUGCUGCUGACAUUUACAAUCAGAGUGAUUGACCACCUCCCCUGAAUAGCAUGAGAGCACAUGGAGAUGAUAAAGACAGGCUGAAGUUCUAUACUGAUCCUUCCCAUUUAUUUGACCUCUGGAAAGAAGUGCUGCAGGACACAGAAGACAAAAGGAAAGACAGAAGGCAUCAAAAGUAGCAAAACCACAUAGAUGGCACCACUUAUGAUGUGAAAAGGAUUACAAAAGCCAGAAACAAGCACCAUGAGUGGAAUAUGAUGGCAUAUGACAAAGAGCUUAGACCCAGCAACAGGUUGUCUCAGUGUGUACCAUGGAGCAUCCUGCAAGAACCCCUGUCCCUAGACAGCAGGUCCCAUACAAUGGAUGUUAGGGAUGCUCUUAUGGAGCUACUCCAAACCAUUCUCACGACCCUUCCUAGGCAGCUGAAGAUGCAUCUCCACAUGGGCCCACAAACCAGGCCCCUGAGCUUGAGUGCCACCCCUCCUCUGCCUCAGUGAGGCACAUGGCCCUAAAUGGACCUCAAGAGCGGCCCCCACUUCCCUGCCUUACCCCAGCUGUGUUCCAAUCCUGUGCACUUAUGGCUCCAGGAGACUACAGGAUGCUCCCAGCACAGGUGCUUGCAUAUUACAACCCGUCAAGACCUCCUUCUCUUCCCCCUUUUACAGUACAAACUGCCUUUGUUGCCUUCUGCAAAUCCUCCUGCCGCCUCCUUCCUCAUAUCAGCUGGCUCCACACACCCUCCUCCUCACCCUCCCUCCACUGGCCCCUGGGUCCAGCAUUCCCUCCUCCAGCCACACACUUUCCCCACCAGGCCUCUUGGCUCAGUUCUUCUUUUUUGUCUUCCCCGUGCAUUCGCCCCCACACUACCACCAGUAGCUGAGGCAAAGCGUCAAGAACCUGCACAGCCACCAAAAAGUGAUACGAGAAGUGAUCUCCUUGCUGCUACUGGAAUGAGGAUUUGACGGGAAAAGGUGCAGGAUCUGUGUGAGCAAGAGGCCAAGAGUGAGCCCCUUGGGAAGGACAAGGUCACAACCCUGUCAAUACAUUGCAGUGGAGAAGUACAGGGAUUCUGAGGGAGACUUAGAGUUUGACAAAAACAAC